AUGGUGCUUCGUGACACGACCGGUCAAAUUAUUUUCUCUUCAUGUCGUCACUUGUUCAAAUGCAAUAACGCACUGGAGGCGGAACUGCAAGCUUGUCGCGAGGGAGUUGCACUCGCGUUGGAAUGGAGCUCUUUACCGUUUAUUCUGAAAACGGACAGCACUGAAGCGGCGAUGAUGCUUAACCAAAAAAAUAUUAAUAGGUCCCCGGAUGCUUGCCUGGUGCAUGAGAUAAAAGAGCUACUGGAUUCUGAUAGAGAGGUUGUAGUUAGAGCGGUUAGGCGCUCAAGAAAUAGGGUUAGUCAUGAGCUUGCUAGGAUUGGGAGAGUUGAUGUUAAAACCGCAGUCUGGUUGAGGUCCGGCCCAAAUGGGGUUAUAGAACUAUGUGAGAUGGAUCAUUCUGAUCCAGGUUGA
rnacentral:rRNA from 1 species